rnacentral:rRNA from 1 species
UACGUAGGGUGCAAGCGUUGUCCGGAAUUAUUGGGCGUAAAGAGCUCGUAGGCGGUUUGUUGCGUCGGCUGUGAAAUCCCGAGGCUCAACCUCGGGUCUGCAGUCGAUACGAGCAAACUAGAGUGUUGCAGGGGAGACUGGAAUUCCUGGUGUAGCGGUGAAAUGCGCAGAUAUCAGGAGGAACACCGGUGGGCGGAGGCAGCCUCCUGGGCCGGACACUGACGCUGGAGGGCACGAAAGCCGUGGGGAGCAAACAGG